AAAUAGGAGGAAAAAAAAAUUAUAAAUUUAAUUAACAUAUGUAAAGGUAAUAUAAAAUGUUGGUUGUUGAUCGUUAUGUAGAUAUUGUCAGUCUUUGAUGGUUAUUUGUGUGUACAUAUAUGAUUGAUGUUUUAGAUGCAGUUCAAUAGUCAAGUUCGGAGAAUUUGAUGCCUUGAAAUUGGUUACCAACAGAAGUAGAAAGUAUCCUGAAAUUGGAACCUAAAUUUGGGGUGGAGACAAAAAAUAAUAUGAAGUAUCUACCUACGGUUAUCAAGGACGUUGAGUAUGGUAUUGCAUCGGUAAAGGUAGAAAAUUGUGAAACCACUGAAGAAAAUAUUAAAAAUAAUUUAAGAUCCAGAGUAGUUAAUGUCAUUUCAAAUUUUUAUAAAAAGAAUAAAUUGAAUGAAAAACAUCAGAUAAUUAGAAAAAACUUAACGUAUACACGACGGUUCCUCAAGGAUAGACAAGAUUUGAUUGUUGCACGAUCAGAUAAAGGAAAAUGGAUAAAGACCCCACUAACAAGUUCGAGCGUAUAGGUAACAAUAUAGUCAAGAAGAUGAUGGGAUUAAAAUUAAUUGAUAAAUCACGUGCUGAAAGGUUGACGUCGAGGUACACGGUUGCUCCGCGGAUCUACGGUUUGAGGAAAACACAUAAGAAUACAUUUGUGACAUCCAUGUGGAGUGACGUGUUUUUCGGCCGUUAACAAAAAAAAAAAAAAUUAAAAUUAAAAAAACUAAUUGGAGGAUGUAAUUUAAUAAUCAAAAAUAUGUAUUGAUGCGACUAUAUACAUGAAAAUACAAGAGGUUGGAGAACAAAAUGUAAAUUUAAAGAGCAAUAACUA